AAAAAAAAUCGCUGGUCCCACGGAGUUCCCUGGUGGUUCAGCAGAUUAAGGAUCUGGCAUUGUCACUGCUGUGGUGAGGAUUCAAUCUAGUCAUAGACAAAAAAAAAUAGCCAUUUACCAAAAUAAAUUAGACAUUUUUAUAUGUCUAGACGGUACAUCUAGUCUAGAUGUCUAGUCAUUUUGCAAGAGUAGAAAACCUGUGGAAUUAUAUGCAGCCUGCCCGUAACUGAACUUGGGGGGAGUUGUUUGGGUGGAAGGGAACAAUCUGACUGCAGUUAUUCCUCUGAGAGUCCAUGUGUUAGAAUGUCAGUGCAUUAUGGGAAAAGAAAUAUUAAGAAACUAGAUGAAACCUAUACUUUCCUAGAGAAGAACACUUUGUCGAAAGUGAUCCUAUCAAAGAUAAAACGUGAAACAGGAGUUCCCAUCGUGGCUCAGUGGAAAUGACUCCGAUGAGUAUCCAUGAGGACGCAGGUUGGAUCCCUGGCCUUGGUCAGUGGGUUGAGGAUCUGGCGUUGCUGUGAGCUGCUGUGGAGGUGGCAGGCUCGGCUUGGAUGUGGUGUUGCCGUGGCUGUGGCAGAGGCCAGCAGCUACAGCUGCGAUCCGACCCCUAGCCUGGGAACGUGCACAUGCCCGGGGCGGGGCUCUAAAAAGACAAAAAAAGGAGUUCCCACUGUGGCACAGUGGAAAUGAAUCCGACUAGGAAGCGUGAGGUUUUGGCUUCCAUCCUGCGUUGCCGUGAACUGUGGUGUAGGUGGUAGACACGGCUUGGGGCUUGUGUUGCUGUGGCUGUGGUGUAGGCUGGCACCUGCAGCUCCGAUGCAACCCCUAGCCUGGGAAUCUCCAUAUGCUGCGAGUGUGGCCCUAAAAAGCAAACUAAACUAAACUAAACUAAACUAAAAAGACCAAAAAAAAGUCAAAUAGUAAUUACUGUAGAAAAAGUAGAGAGUUUUCAUGAAACCGCUUCACAGGAAAUCACAAGAUCAGGUAGUCUGAAUGAGAAUUCCUUUUGUUUUCUUCUAUCUUUGUUUGGUUACACCUCCAUAUUUGGACUUCCCAGGCCAGGGGUCACAUCCCAGCCAGAGGUUGUGACCUAAGCCACAGGGGCAGCCAUGCAGGAUCCUAAACCCACCGUGCAGGGAGGGGGAUUGAACCUGCGUCCCAGCUCUCCCAAGAUGCCAGCGAUCCCCUUGCCCCACAGCAGGAGCUCCUGAAUGAGAAUGUCCACGACAUUUUCUGAGGUCUCCUGUGUCCACUGGCCCCGCAGAGGAGGAACCAGUCAUGCAAACGAGUUCCCUCCCCCUGAAGGUCCAUUGUUGUUCCUGGGAUGGGGGCCCUGGAUGGUGAUGUUCAGAGGUUGCCUCCUGGGAAGGCCCUGUCUUGAAGUCACCUCUGAGGGGAAAUUCAGGACUCUUUGGACUCCUCCAGUCUGUGACCAUUUUUCAGUUACCUUGUUGUUCACAUCGUUGAGAAAGGGCAGCUCACGGCAAUGCUGGAGUGAGGCCGGGAAUCAAACCUGUGGCCUCAUGGCUGCUAGUCGGGCUACUCAGCAGGGAGCCAUGACAGGACUCCCAUCUGUGAGGACUUUGGGCAACACUGGUGCAGUGUUUUGAAGAACGUCCCCUGAUUUGGGUUGCCCUGAUGUUUUCUCCGGCUUGUCCUAAGGGGUUACAGGUUUUCAGGGAGAACAGCACAGAGUGAAGUGGUCUGAGACAGGAAACUAGACCACCUGCUCAGGGAGGAGAAAUGUUGAAUAAACCUCUGCCUCUCUUACCCCAGUGCUGUGUCAUCUCAAAAACCCAUUCCGGAUGUUGGGAUCUACUCUGGACCAGACCAGGUCCCUGAUCUUGGGGCAAACAUUGUCAAUAACCUUUCGUGUGAUUUUUCCAGAUAGGCUUUCCAAAGGUGCGCCUGAUCAGGUUGAGAAAAUCCCAUUGUGUUGGGAGUUUACUGAGACAUUUCCUUUUUCUUCUUUAUUUUCUAUAAUCCAAGAGUGUUGAGUGGCUGAAUAUUUUCAAUGUACGUCUAUGGUGAUGAUCACAUAUAUUUUUUCCUUUUCAAGUGAGAUUUACGUUGAUGGAUUAUCAAAUGCUAAAUCACCCUAGAAUUUCUAGAUGAAUGAAUUUUGCUCUAUUGCUAGCUUCAAUGUGCAAAUUCUUCAAGCUCUAUGUGUGUGUGUGUGUGUGUGUGUAUAUAUAUAUAUUCAUGAAUAAUACUGCCUUUUAGGGUUUUUCUCUUAAGUAUUUUGUUUAUAGCAUUAUGGAAAACUUGGCCUCAUAAACAUACUGGUUUUUACUCUUUCUUUCUCUAUUUUCUUUUCUUUCUUUCUAUCUUUCUUUCUUUUUUUUUUNUAUUUCUUGAGCCGCUCCCACGGCAUAUGGAGAUUCCCAGCCUAGAGGUCUAAUCGGAGCCUUAGCCACCAGCCUACACCAGAGCCACAGCAAUGCGGGAUCCGAGCCGCGUCUGCAACCUACACCACAGCUCACAGCAAUGCCGGAUCGUUAACCCACUGAGCAAGGGCAGGGACCAAACCUGCAACCUCAUGGAUCCUAGUCGGAUUUGUUAACCACUGCGCCACAACGGGAGUUCCUCUGGCUCUAUUUUCUUUGAAAGGUUGUGUCACAUCAUUACAUAAAUGUUUGAGGAAAUCCACCAACCAAGAGAUCAGAUUCUGGUUUUGUGUUUUUUGAGAAGGUCUGAAACUACAGUGAUAAACUCCUUAAAUAUCUCUAAGAGCACACAUGGGAUCAAACUCAACCGAUUCUGGAGUUCCUGUCAUGGUUCAGUGGUAUCGAAUCUGACUGGUAUCCAUGAGGUUGCAGGUUUGAUCUCCAGCCUAGCCCAGUAGGUUAAGGAUCUGUUGUUGCCAUGAACUGCGGUGAAGGUCCCAGACUCAGUUGUGUUCCUGUGUUGCUGUGGCUGUGGCUGUGGUUGUGGCAUAGGCUGGAUGCUGUAGCUCCGAUUCGAUCCGUACCCUGGGAACCUCCAUAGACCGAGGGUGUGGGCCUAAAAAGCAAAAAAAAAAAAAAAAAAAAAAAAAAAA
rnacentral:lncRNA from 1 species